UACAGAGGUCUCAAGCGUUGUUCGGAUUCAUUGGGCGUAAAGGGUGCGUAGGUGGCGCUGUAAGUCGGGUGUGAAAUUUCGGAGCUUAACUCCGAGACUGCAUUCGAUACUGCGGUGCUUGAGGACUGGAGAGGAGACUGGAAUUCAUGGUGUAGCAGCGAAAUGCGUAGAGAUCAUGAGGAAGACCAGUGGCGAAGGCGGGUCUCUGGACAGUUCCUGACACUGAGGCACGAAGGCCAGGGGAGCAAACGGG
rnacentral:rRNA from 1 species